GCUGGCGUAGCUCAGUUGGUAGAGCAGCUGAUUCGUAAUCAGCAGGUCGGUGGUUCGAUUCCACUCGUCAGCUCCA
rnacentral:tRNA from 1 species